UUGGGGGUGAUGAUAUCUUUCAUAUUGAGACUUCUCGAUGAUUGUCAUGUAUUCAUACUGUCUGACCCAA